UACGGAGGGGGCCAGCGUUGUUCGGAAUCAUUGGGCGUAAAGGGUGCGUAGGCGGCGAGGUAAGUCGGAUGUGAAAUCCCGGGGCUCAACCCCGGAACUGCAUUCGAUACUGCUUUGCUUGAGUACUGGAGAGGAGACUGGAAUUUACGGUGUAGCAGUGAAAUGCGUAGAUAUCGUAAGGAAGACCAGUGGCGAAGGCGAGUCUCUGGACAGUUACUGACGCUGAGGCACGAAGGCCAGGGGAGCAAACGGG
rnacentral:rRNA from 1 species